rnacentral:rRNA from 1 species
UGGGGAAUAUUGGACAAUGGGCGAAAGCCUGAUCCAGCCAUGCCGCGUGUGUGAAGAAGGUCUUCGGAUUGUAAAGCACUUUAAGUUGGGAGGAAGGGCAGUAAGCGAAUACCUUGCUGUUUUGACGUUACCGACAGAAUAAGCACCAGCUAACUCUGUGCCAGCAGCCGCGGUAAUACAGAGGGUGCAAGCGUUAAUCGGAAUUACUGGGCGUAAAGCGCGCGUAGGUGGUUCGUUAAGUUGAAUGUGAAAGCCCCGGGCUCAACCUGGGAACUGCAUCCAAAACUGGCGAGCUAGAGUAGGGCAGAGGGUGGUGGAAUUUCCUGUGUAGCGGAGAAAUGCGUAGAUAUAGGAAGGAACACCAGUGGCGAAGGCGACCACCUGGGCUCAUACUGACACUGAGGUGCGAAAGCGUGGGGAGCAAACAGG